rnacentral:rRNA from 1 species
UACGAAGGGGGCUAGCGUUGUUCGGAAUCAUUGGGCGUAAAGCGUGCGUAGACGGUUACAUAAGUCGGGUGUGAAAGCCCCGGGCUCAACCUGGGAAUCGCAUUCGAGACUGCGUAGCUAGGGUGCGGAAGAGGGAAGCGGAAUUUCCGGUGUAGCGGUGAAAUGCGUAGAUAUCGGAAGGAACACCAGUGGCGAAAGCGGCUUCCUGGUCCAAUAUUGACGCUGAGGAGCGAAAGCCAGGGGAGCAAACGGG